CCUACGGGUUGCAGCAGGCGCGAAAACUUUACAAUGCAGGAAACUGUGAUAAGGGAACCCCGAGUGCCCGUAUACGCGGGCUGUCCAGGUGUUUAAAACGCAUCUGAAGAAAGGGCCGGGCAAGACCGGUGCCAGCCGCCGCGGUAAUACCGGCGGCUCGAGUGGUGGCCACUUUUAUUGGGCUUAAAGCGUCCGUAGCUGGACCGAUAAGUCUCUUGGGAAAUCCGCCGGCUUAACCGGCGGGCGUCUAAGAGAUACUGUUGGUCUAGGGACCGGGAGAGGUGAGAGGUACUCCGGGGGUAGGAGUGAAAUCCUGUAAUCCCUGGGGGACCACCUAUGGCGAAGGCAUCUCACCAGAACGGCUCCGACAGUGAGGGACGAAAGCUGGGGGAGCGAACCGGAUUAGAUACCCCCGUAGUC
rnacentral:rRNA from 1 species